GGGCCUGUGGUGUCAACAGGAACAUGCCGGUCCUGCAAACCGGAGUUGAGAGUGCGACUCUCUCCAGGUCCA
rnacentral:tRNA from 1 species